AGUGAACGCUGGCGGUAGGCCUAACACAUGCAAGUCGAACGGCAGCACAGUAAGAGCUUGCUCUUACGGGUGGCGAGUGGCGGACGGGUGAGGAAUACAUCGGAAUCUACUUUUUCGUGGGGGAUAACGUAGGGAAACUUACGCUAAUACCGCAUACGACCUACGGGUGAAAGCAGGGGAUCUUCGGACCUUGCGCGAUUGAAUGAGCCGAUGUCGGAUUAGCUAGUUGGCGGGGUAAAGGCCCACCAAGGCGACGAUCCGUAGCUGGUCUGAGAGGAUGAUCAGCCACACUGGAACUGAGACACGGUCCAUACUCCUACGGGAGGCAGCAGUGUGGAAUAUUAGACAAUGGGCGCAAGCCUGAUCCAGCCAUACCGCGUGGGUGAAGAAGGCCUUCGGGUUGUAAAGCCCUUUUGUUGGGAAAGAAAAGCAGCAGGUUAAUACCCCGCUGUUCUGACGGUACCCAAAGAAUAAGCACCGGCUAACUUCGUG
rnacentral:rRNA from 1 species